AAGUCGUAACAAGGUCUCCGUUGGUGAACCAGCGGAGGGAUCAUUACUGAGUUACAAACUCCCAAACCCGUGUGAACAUACCACUGUUGCUUCGGCGGCCACGCCCCGGGAGCCACCUGCGCCCCCCGGAUCCAGGCGUCCGCCGGAGGACCUAGAACUCUUGAUUUCACAGAGGAUCUUCUGAGUACACUACAAAAUGAAUCAAAACUUUCAACAACGGAUCUCUUGGUUCUG
rnacentral:misc_RNA from 1 species